GACAUUGCUCAGAAAGUGGAUACUCUGGAUUAGGGAGGUGACCUCUCCAUGCCUGUUCCACUGUCCUCUCCUCACUUCUACCUACUCAAUUAAUGGUCUGGGAAUCUCGCAUUUUCCCCAUGCAGUGGGGUGAUCUGGCCCUAGCCACUAUCAGGUAAAAGUUGGUCCCAAAGUUUACAAGACACCAUAGAAAGAACACAGGAGUUGCCAUGUCGGAACAGACCAAUCAUCAUCUAGUCUGGUAUCCUGUCUCUGACAACAGCCAAUUCCAAAUACUUCAGAAGAAGGGGAAGUAAACAGGGGGAAGGAACACCCAUAAGAAUUCCAUUUCUGACUGAUGGUCUCUCCUGAGAGGUCUGAUUUGUGUGGAGAAUGGCCUGGCAGCUUGUAAAAUCCUGGAAUAUAUGGAAUCAUGGUGUUAACAGGAAGCUGUGAAACGUGACACACAAUGAGAGUCUAGGAGGAUACCAUUCAGUGCUCCAUGAUUCUUCACAGAAUCUUUCACAAAAAGAAUGAAGCAAGAUGAUUGCACAGUGAAAUAAAACAGAGCAGAGGGAGAGAGAAAUAAGAUGCUGUGUAGACCUGCGGGGAAAGCUAUAUUUUCUGAUUAUUUUCUGAGAGAUUUUUCUUGUUUGAGUCCCAUCAAUGUGUACAAAGUGAUUCAGGAGCAUGUUUUGUUAAUUCAACUUGUCUCUGAAGGAAAUGAUUUGUGAUCAUCAUCUGCUUUUUCCUCUUCGACAAUAGCAGACAGAAGACACUUUGAUGUCAAAACACAAAAGACAUUACUGCAUGGCAUGUGUUUUUUUUGGGCAGGCAAUGGGCUAUGGUGAAAUAUAAUAAAGCAUUUUAACAAUAAAUGGUCUGGCAUGA